CAACGUGUUCCGGGGUCGGUGGAAGUCCGAACCGGCGGUCACAGUCCGCGAACCGGACGACCACGUCCCUGCGGGCGCCCAGCGCCCGCACCGACGGGUCGUCCGGCCGAACCGGUGGAACUCCGGUACCGACAGUCACAGUCUGGAUGGAAGGCAACACGUUC
rnacentral:ncRNA from 1 species